UACAGAGGAGCCAAGCGUUGUCCGGAUUGACUGGGCGUAAAGCGCACGCAGGCGGUUGCGCGCGUGGGGUGUGAAAUCUGGCCGCUUAACGGCCAGGCGCCAUCCCAUACGGCGCGACUGGAGGGCUGCAGAGGUCGAUGGAAUUGCCGGUGUAGUGGUGAAAUGCGUAGAGAUCGGCAGGAACACCCAGGGGGAAACCAGUCGACUGGGCAGCACCUGACACUCAGGGACGAAAGCUAGGGGAGCGAAUGGG
rnacentral:rRNA from 1 species